UCGCAGUGGGUUUUAGUCUUUAUUAACA
rnacentral:sRNA from 1 species